rnacentral:rRNA from 1 species
CGGACGGGUGAGUAACGCGUGGGUAACCUACCCUGUACACACGGAUAACAUACCGAGAGGUAUGCUAAUACGGGAUAAUAUAUUUGAGAGGCAUCUCUUGAAUAUCAAAGGUGAGCCAGUACAGGAUGGACCCGCGUCUGAUUAGCUAGUUGGUAAGGUAACGGCUUACCAAGGCGACGAUCAGUAGCCGACCUGAGAGGGUGAUCGGCCACAUUGGAACUGAGACACGGUCCAA